rnacentral:rRNA from 1 species
CUACCCUUGACAUGCCAGGAACUUUCCAGAGAUGGAUUGGUGCCCGAAAGGGAACCUGGACACAGGUGCUGCAUGGCUGUCGUCAGCUCGUGUCGUGAGAUGUUGGGUUAAGUCCCGCAACGAGCGCAACCCUUGUCAUUAAUUGCCAUCAUUUAGUUGGGCACUUUAAUGAGACUGCCGGUGAUAAACCGGAGGAAGGUGGGGAUGACGUCAAGUCCUCAUGGCCCUUAUGGGUAGGGCUUCACACGUAAUACAAUGGUCGGUACAGAGGGUCGCCAACCCGCGAGGGGGAGCCAAUCUCAGAAAGCCGAUCGUAGUCCGGAUUGUUCUCUGCAACUCGAGAGCAUGAAGUCGGAAUCGCUAGUAAUCGCGGAUCAGCAUGUCGCGGUGAAUACGUUCC